rnacentral:rRNA from 1 species
AUUGAACGCUGGCGGCAGGCCUAACACAUGCAAGUCGAACGAGUGGCGGACGGGUGAGUAAUGUCUGGGAAACUGCCCGAUGGAGGGGGAUAACUACUGGAAACGGUAGCUAAUACCGCAUACCAUCGGAUGUGCCCAGAUGGGAUUAGCUAGUAGGUGGGGUAACGUCUCACCAAUGUGACGAUCCCUAGCGGGUCUGAGAGGAGUACAGGCCCCCGUGGAACUGGGACACGGUCCUGCCUCCUACGGGCUGCAUCAGUGGGGAUUAUUGCACAAUGGGCGCAAGCCUGAUGCAGCACGGCCGCGUGUAUGAAGAAGCCCUUCGGGUUGUAAACUACUUUCUGCGAGGAGGCGUUACUCGCAGAAGAAGCACCGGCUAACUCCGUGCCAGCAGCCGCGGUAAUAC